rnacentral:rRNA from 1 species
CAGCCGCCGCGGUAAUACGUAGGGUGCAAGCGUUAAUCGGAAUUACUGGGCGUAAAGCGUGCGCAGGCGGUUUUGUAAGACAGAGGUGAAAUCCCCGGGCUCAACCUGGGAACUGCCUUUGUGACUGCAAGGCUGGAGUGCGGCAGAGGGGGAUGGAAUUCCGCGUGUAGCAGUGAAAUGCGUAGAUAUGCGGAGGAACACCGAUGGCGAAGGCAAUCCCCUGGGCCUGCACUGACGCUCAUGCACGAAAGCGUGGGGAGCAAACAGGAUUAGAUACCCCUGUAGUCCCUGUCUCUUAUAC